AAUUUAGAAUAACUUUACAUGUGGCCUGUGCUGGAAACUAUAAUUUCUCUUUCUUGUGGCAACAAGAAGAAUAUCAAAUGUAUUCCUUGUCUUUAAAAGCUAUACAGAAAGAGUACUAGACUUGUGACCUGUGGUGUUGUUUUUGGUGUGUGUGUUUCCUUUGUUUGUUUUUUGUACCUGGAAGGGCUGCAUUAUAUUUAUAGCCCAUGAUGGCUGCCUUGAAUCAUGUCUCCCAGUGAUGAAGUGGGAAUGUUAUUUGGGGAAAAUGGAAACUUUUUCCUGAUCUGCCUCCAUGUAUUCAGAGAUUUACAGUAUCAUCUUGUUUCUACUGUUUCUCAUCUUGUUAGCAUUAUUCAAACAGUAAAUACACAGACUUUAUUCUUUGUCUAUCUGUCUGUCUUUCUGUCUUUCCCAUAAUUAGGAGUGGUUGUUAAGAACCUUGAAUUUCUGAGACAGAAACUUUGCACACACUGGUUAUAAUGACAGGAUGACUCCAGAAUCUGCCAGGGGGAGCGCUGUCUCACAAUGUAGGAGAUGUGUCCUGCCCAAGGGACCUGGGACAGCUUAGGCUGCGCUUGCCUGGACAGCCAAAAGGGAAGGAGGCGCGUGUGAAGAAGAGGCUGCUCCUCUCAUGCACGUGCCUGGAGCAUGAAGCAAGGGCUGCACCUGGGGAAAGCAGCGGCUGCUGUGGGUGACCUGCGUGCUGAGGACCGGAGUAAUAAGCAGCACAUUUUAAACAGCUGGAAGAAGAAAAACCAAAACCUGUAGCCUUCAAGGAGCAUCCAGCCCAGGGUCCCACGCUGCUGGAGGUGACACCCUGCCGAGGGUCAGCCUGGCCAGUCUGUGGCCCCAGGGCCAACUGCAGGUCUCACUGGAGCUGCCCUUCCCACGAUGGACCAGUACAGCUUUGCUAUCGCUCAGAGGAGUGAUUAGUUUCUUACUGGAAAUUGUCAUGAGAACAAACUAUUUUUAUAUGAGGAAAUAAAAAGAUUUGCUUUACCAAGGAAAAGCCUUGUGAUAUACUGAAGGACAACAGUGUCUUGCCUUAAGUUAGCUGAUAAGCUACUGCUAAUGUAAGUCUUCUUUGUUAAGUAAGAAAAAUUUAGAUCUUGAAUGUGCUGUUACAAAUGAUGCCCAUCAAGUGACAUAACUUCAGCCUCAAGGUAAAAAGGAUUACAUUUGGGCCUCUGUCUUAUUUUCUCCAAAUCUUUUCUGGUAUUUCUUGAACACUGAAUCUUCUGGAAUAUUUGUUUUAUUGGAAUUAAUUAAAAAAAAAAACCCAAAAAAAAAAAACCCACAACAAAACACCUACACUUGUCAUGUUGAUAUUUUCAAAUUGGACAUUGUGACAGUCUCUUGAUCCUUCUAAGCAGCCUUUAUAUGUUUGCUCUUCAGUUUGCUACUGUAUAUGGUCUCUAGAAAAGUCAUUUAAAAGGAAAAGCAUACAAACAUACAGACCAGCUGUUUUGCAAAGUUGUGUAAGGCUUGACAAGGCCCUGGUAAAAGUUGAAUUGCUUUGAGAAAGCAGUUGCACAAGAUAACCUCCACAGGUCCAUUGCGACAUAAAUUAUUCUAUGAUUAACUGUAAUAUUGUUCCCAAAACCCACAGUCCUGAAAUAUUGCAAUUUUUUAUACAAAAUUUAUGGCUCAUGGAAAAAAGGCCUUUAAUCUUAACCAUUGUCAUGUUUCUCACAUGACUAACUGCAAAAGAAAAAUUGUCAGUUGCAUCUGAUUUGUUACUUCAUUCUAUAGCAAAGGGUUGUUUUGUAGAAACCUAGAAGAGGCUCUUUAAUGAAAGAGCAUCAGGAUG